ensembl:lncRNA
GUACACACUACUACACAACUACUACACAACUACUACACAACUACUGCAUUACACUACUACACAACUACUGCAUUACACUACUACACAACUACUGCAUUACACUACUACACAACUACUGCAUUACACUACUACACAACUACUGCAUUACACUACUACACAACUACUACAUUACACUACUACACAACUACUACACAACUACUGCAUUACACUACUACACAACUACUGCAUUACACUACUACACAACUACUACAUUACACUACUACACAACUACUACACUACUACACAACUACUACAUUACACUACUACACUACUAGACAACUACUACACAACUACUACAUUACACUACUACACACUACUACACUACUACACAACUACUACAUUACACUACUACACUACUACACAACUACUACACAACUACUACAUUACACUACUACACAACUACUACACAACUACUACAUUACACUACUACACAACUACUACACAACUACUACACUACUACACAACUACUACAUUACACUACUACACAACUACUACAUUACACUACUACACAACUACUACAUUACACUACUACACAACUACUACAUUACACUACUACACAACUACUACACAACUACUACAUUACACUACUACACAACUACUACAUUACACUACUACACAACUACUACACAACUACUACAUUACACUACUACACAACUACUACAUUACACUACUACACAACUACUACAUUACACUACUACACAACUACUACACUACACUACUACACAACUACUACUUUACACUACUACACAACUACUACACAACUACAACACUACACAACUACAACACUACACUACACUACUACACAACUACAACACUACACUACUACACAACUACAACACUACUACACAACUACAACACUACACUACUACAACACUACACAACUACAACACUACACAACUACACUACUACACAACUACAACACUACUACACAACUACAACACUACACUACUACAACACUACACUACUACAACACUACACUACUACACAACUACAACACUACACAACUACAACACUACACUACUACAACACUACACAACUACACAACUACACUACUACACAACUACACUACUACACAACUACAACACUACACUACUACAACACUACACUACUACACAACUACAACUACACUACUACAACACUACACAACUACACUACUACACAACUACAACACUACACUACACUACUACACAACUACACUACUACAACACUACACUACUACAACACUACACUACUACACAACUACAACACUACUACACAACUACAACACUACACAACUACAACACUACACUACUACAACACUACACAACUACACAACUACAACACACUACAACACUACACAACUACACUACUACACAACUACUACACUACACAACUACAACACACUACUACAACACUACACAACUACACAACUACACUACUACACAACUACACUACUACACAACUACAACACUACAACACUACACUACUACACUACUACAACACUACACAACUACACUACUACACAACUACAACACUACUACACAACUACAACACUACACAACUACUACAUUACACUACUACACAACUACUACAUUACACUACUACACAACUAAUAACUACAACUACUACACAACUACAACACUACACAACUACUACACUACACAACUACUACACUACACAACUACUACACAACUAAAACACUACACAACUACAACACUACACUACUACACAACUAAAACACUACACAACUAA